rnacentral:tRNA from 2 species
UCCGGUGUAGGUACUAGUGUUGUGCACGACAUGAGUGUUCUGGUUCGAGUCCAGACGCCGGAACCA